rnacentral:rRNA from 1 species
GUCCGACGCGAAAGCCCUUUCGGGGGUAAGUAGAGUGGCGUCCGGGUGAGUAACACGUAGGUAAUCUGCCUUCGGGUGGGGAAUAACACCUCGAAAGAGGUGCUAAUACCGCAUAAUGCAGCGGCACCUAAUGGUGAUUAGUUGUUAAAGCGGGGGACCCGCAAGGGCCUCGUGCCUGAAGAGGAGCCUGCGGCAGAUUAGCUAGUUGGUGAGGUAAUGGCUCACCAAGGCUUCGAUCUGUAGCUGGUCUGAGAGGACGGCCAGCCACACUGGCACUGACACACGGGCCAGACUCCUACGGGAGGCAGCAGUGGGGAAUUUUGGGCAAUGGGCGCAAGCCUGACCCAGCAACGCCGCGUGAGGGAGGAAAUCCUUCGGGAUGUAAACCUCACAAGCAAGGGAAGAGAGUGAGAGGGCAAAUAACCCUCUCAUCCGACGGUACCUUGCGUAAGCCACGGCUAACUACGUGCCAGCAGCCGCGGUAAUACGUAGGUGGCAAGCGUUGUUCGGAAUUAUUGGGCGUAAAGGGCGCGUAGGCGGCCUUGUAAGUCAGCUGUGAAAGCCCGGGGCUCAACCCCGGAGAGUCGGCUGAUACUGCAGGGCUAGAGUACGGAAGAGGUAGCUGGAAUUCCCGGUGUAGCGGUGAAAUGCGUAGAUAUCGGGAGGAACACCUGAGGCGAAGGCGGGCUACUGGGCCGAUACUGACGCUGAGGCGCGAAAGCCAGGGGAGCGAACGGGAUAGAUACCCCGGUAGUCCUGGCCCUAAACGAUGG